AUUGAACGCUGGCGGCAGGCCUAACACAUGCAAGUCGAGCGAGAUUAGAAACUUCGGUUUCGAAGUCUAGCGGCGAACGGUCGCGUAACACGUAAGCAACCUGCCCUAGAGUGUGGGAUAGCCCUUCGAAAGAGGGAUUAAUACCUCAUGUGGAUACGAUUUGGCAUCUUAUUGUAUCUAAAGCAGCAAUGCGCUCUAGGAUGGGCUUGCGGCCUAUCAGCUAGUUGGUGGGGUAAAGGCCUACCAAGGCGACGACGGGUAGCUGGUCUGAGAGGAUGAUCAGCCGGACUGGGACUGAGACACGGCCCAGACUCCUACGGGGGGCAGCAAUUAGGAAUCUUGCGCAAUGGGCGAAAGCCUGACGCAGCGACGCCGCGUGACUGAUGAAGUCUUUCGGGAUGUAAAGGUCUUUUCUUGAGGGAAGAAGGACGUGACGGUACCUCAGGAAUAAGCCCCGGCUAACUACGUGCCAGCAGCCGCGGUAAAU
rnacentral:rRNA from 1 species